CUACGGGGUGCAGCAGUGAGGAAUUUUGCGCAAUGGGGGAAACCCUGACGCAGCAACGCCGCGUGAGUGAAGAAGGCUUUCGGGUCGUAAAGCUCUGUCAGAUAGGAAAAAAGUUCAUAUGUAAAUAGCUUAUGAAUCUGAUGGUACUAUCAGAGGAAGCACCGGCUAACUCCGUGCCAGCAGCCGCGGUAAUACGGAGGGUGCAAGCGUUGUUCGGAAUUACUGGGCGUAAAGGGCGUGUAGGCGGUAUGGUAAGUCAGAUGUGAAAGCCCUGGGCUUAACUCAGGAAGUGCAUUUGAUACUGCCAUCCUAGAGUAUGGGAGAGGAGAGUAGAAUUCCCAGUGUAGAGGUGAAAUUCGUAGAUAUUGGGAGGAAUACCCGUGGCGAAGGCGACUCUCUGGACCAAUACUGACGCUGAGACGCGAAAGCGUGGGGAGCAAACAGGAUUAGAUACCCCUGUAGUC
rnacentral:rRNA from 1 species